rnacentral:rRNA from 1 species
GUCGACGAUGAACCUCACUUGUGGGGGGAUUAGUGGCGAACGGGUGAGUAACACGUGAGUAACCUGCCCUUGACUCUGGGAUAAGCCUGGGAAACUGGGUCUAAUACCGGAUAUGACUCCUCAUCGCAUGGUGGGGGGUGGAAAGCUUUUUGUGGUUUUGGAUGGACUCUCGGCCUAUCAGCUUGUUGGUGAGGUAAUGGCUCACCAAGGCGACAACAGGUAGCCGGCCUGAGAGGGUGACCGGCCACACUGGGACUGAGACACGGCCCACACUCCUACGGGAGGCAGCAGUGGGGAAUAUUGCACAAUGGGCGAAAGCCUGAUGCAGCGACGCCCCGUGAGGGAUGACGGCCUUCGGGUUGUAAACCUCUUUCAGUAGGGAAGAAGCGAAAGUGACGGUACCUGCAGAAGAAACGCCGGCUAACUACGUGCCAGCAGCCGCGGUAAUACGUAGGGCGCAAGCGUUAUCCGGAAUUAUUGGGCGUAAGAGCUCGAGGCGGUUUGUCCGUCUGCGUGAAAGUCCGGGGCUCUCUCCGGAUCUGCGGUGGGUACGGGCAGACUAGAGUGAUGUAUGGGAGACUGGAAUUCCUGGUGUGCGCUGAAUGCGCGAUAUAGGAGGAACACCGAUCGCGAAGGUGGUCUCUGGGCAUUACUGACACUGAGGAGCGAAAGCAUGGGGAGCGAACAGGAUUAGAUACCCUGGUAGUCCAUGCCGUAUACGUUGGGCACUAUGUGUGUGGGACAUUCCACGUUUUCCGCGCCGUAGCUCACGCAUUAUGUGUCCCGCCUCGGGAGUACGGCCGCGAGGCUAAACUCAAGA